rnacentral:rRNA from 1 species
UACGUAGGGGGCUAGCGUUGUCCGGAAUCAUUGGGCGUAAAGCGCGUGUAGGCGGUCCGGUAAGUCCGCUGUGAAAGUCGGGGGCUCAACCCUGGGAUGCCGGUCGAUACUGCCGGACUAGAGUUCGGAAGAGGCGAGUGGAAUUCCCGGUGUAGCGGUGAAAUGCGCAGAUAUCGGGAGGAACACCUAUGGCGAAGGCAGCUCGCUGGGACGUUACUGACGCUGAGACGCGAAAGCGUGGGGAGCAAACAGG